AGAAUGAACGCUGGCGGCAUGCCUAACACAUGCAAGUCGAACGAGACCUUCGGGUCUAGUGGCGCACGGGUGCGUAACGCGUGGGAAUCUGCCCUUGGGUUCGGAAUAACAGUGGGAAACUACUGCUAAUACCGGAUAAUGACGUAAGUCCAAAGAUUUAUCGCCCAGGGAUGAGCCCGCGUAAGAUUAGCUAGUUGGUGGGGUAAAGGCCUACCAAGGCGACGAUCUUUAGCUGGUCUGAGAGGAUGAUCAGCCACACUGGGACUGAGACACGGCCCAGACUCCUACGGGAGGCAGCAGUGGGGAAUAUUGGACAAUGGGCGAAAGCCUGAUCCAGCAAUGCCGCGUGAGUGAUGAAGGCCUUAGGGUUGUAAAGCUCUUUACCCGGGAAGAUAAUGACUGUACCGGGAGAAUAAGCCCGGCUAACUCCGCGCCAGCAGCCGC
rnacentral:rRNA from 1 species